rnacentral:rRNA from 1 species
GACGAACGCUGGCGGCGUGCUUAACACAUGCAAGUCGAACGGAAAGGCCCUUCGGGGUACUCGAGUGGCGAACGGGUGAGUAACACGUGGGUGAUCUGCCCUGCACUUUGGGAUAAGCCUGGGAAACUGGGUCUAAUACCGAAUAGGACCACGCGCUUCAUGGUGUGUGGUGGAAAGCUUUUGCGGUGUGGGAUGGGCCCGCGGCCUAUCAGCUUGUUGGUGGGGUAAUGGCCUACCAAGGCGACGACGGGUAGCCGGCCUGAGAGGGUGACCGGCCACACCGGGGCUGGGGUUCCGCCCCGGCUCCUUCGGGGGGGAGCAGGUGGGAAUAUUUCACCAUGGGCGCAAGCCUGGUGCAGCGGCCCCGCGUGGGGGAUGACCGCCUUCGGGGUGUAAACCUCUUUCACCAGGGACGAAGCGUAAGUGACGGUACCUGGAGAAGAAGCACCGGCCAACUACGUG